AAACACUCCUCCAACGAGGGAAGAGGUAUUAUCAACAUUCGUAGCAUCAUUUCCUUUUUGUUUUUAAAUUAUGAUUUAUUUGUCGGUUCAAUGGCAUGAACCUUAUUAUAGAUCAGGAUAUUGGCGUUCAAUCCAAAGGCAGAUAUAGAGAACCUUGAAGAGUUGCUACAGGAAGAUAAUUUUCUUCUUGAAUAUGGAGUUAGGAGAACAAAGACGGUUUCCGGUGUUGAUUUUGAAGUUGAAGGAAAGCGAUAUACAGAGAGAAAGGCCUGCAUCUGUUUUUCUUCACAGUUCGUACAGUGACAAAGAAGCGGUGCGUCCAUUGCUUGUAACUGAUUUUCUUAGGCGCAUGCGUGGCGAUGUUAGGUAGCAAUUUGGGUUGAUUUUCGUUACCAUGGAGAAGUGCAAUCAACACAACCAUCUAUCUCCAUGAAGUAUUUGCUUUGCUAUGCUAUUUAUUGAGCUUGUUACCAGCACAGUGUUAUUUA